UUCUAUCAUCAUCGUGGACCGUACGAAUUCUCGCUGAUCAUAUUAUUUAUAUUUACAUUACUUUUUUUCUCAUUCUUCAUCAGUUAUACGAGUUUUCAUUGAUCAUAUUAUCUGUCUUUGAAUUCAUAUUGCUUAGUUAUACGAGUUCUAAACUGAUCAUAUUAUCUUUUUUCUCGUCCUUCAUCAGUUAUAUGAGUUUUCAUUAAUCAUACUAGUUGUCUUCAUAUUGCUUGGUUAUACGAGUUCUAAACUAAUCAUAUUAUCUAUCAAUCUCCAUAUUGCUCGGUUACGAGUUCUCAACUGAUCAUAUUAUCUAUCUCUAUAUUGCUUUCUUCCUCGUCCUUCAUCGACUAUAUAUACGAAUUUUCACUAAUCAUAUUAUUUAUCUCCAUAUUGCUUUCUUUCUUGUCCUUCGUCGAUUAUACGAGUUUUCACUGAUCAUAUUAUUUAUCUCCAUAUUGCUUCCUUCCUAUCUCGUCCUUCAUCGGUUAUAAGAGUUCUCACUGAUCAUAUUAUCGAUCUAUAUCUAUAUUACUUUUUGCCUCGUCUUUCAUCAACUAUACGAGUUCUCACUAAUCAUAUUAUCUAUCUCCAUAUUUCUUUCUUCCUCGUCCUUCAUCGACUAUAUAAAUUCUCACUGCUCAUAUUAUCUAUCUACUUUAUUUGAGCUUAUUUCAAACUGUAUGCCGAUAUAACAUGUUCAAAAAAUUUCUUUAAUAUAUAGUUCGAGUCGAAAGCAAUAAGUAUGGUCACAUCUACUGUUGAAAAGUUGUACUUGUCUAUGUGAAUGCCAGUGUAAUCAAAAUUAUCAACUGUAACGCACAAUAUCGAAAAAGGUUAUAUUGUAAAUUAAAAAAACUCCUACAUACAUACAUACAUACAUACAUACAUAUAUAUAUAUAU
rnacentral:lncRNA from 1 species